GGAAGACUCUCAGCCCUUCGAGGACAUCACAGAUGAGCACCAUUGAGGGGAAAAGAAGCAUCUAACUGAAGAACACCCACUAAGAUACUGAUUCAGGGAGGUCUCACAUUUGGAUGACUGCUCCCUGGGGCAUCAUCAUCGACGAGGACAAACAUCGUGUUGCACACCUUUCAGCAGAAGGAUGUCCCAAGGAGAACAUUUGCUGCCUCUUCCACUACCCAAGGUGAUCCUGAUGCUGGUGUUUUUUCUAUACCCAACUCCACCCAGGAAGGUACCACUGCCAGAAGGACCGGCACCUCCUUGGAAACCAGUGUGGCCUUAACAACUCACAGACUGCCUAACCUAGUGAGAAGGGCUUUAAAUUAGGUUCAACGGGGGCAGGUGACCAAAGCCCACAGAUCAAGAAGAACUGUCUAGCAAGACCAUUGACGUGACUAAAGUCCAUCCUAUGCAGGAAGAAGAAAGGGAGAAUGAUUGUAUCUACCUCCACUAUCCCCAUCCCUAAGGAUGUGCUACCCUGCCCUAUCUGCUAACUGGUCUGAGGAUUCCAGUGCCUGCCUUUUAAGUCACAUCAAGGCACCUGCAAAGGGCAUCUCGUGUCAGAAGAGGCCAACUCUAGAAGACUCCAUUGCUACCAUCCCUCCCCUGCUCUGAAUGCAGAAAUGCUGCAUGCCCACCUUCUGCUUCCAGCU